ensembl:lncRNA
CCUCUGUCAGGAUGGUCUUGCCGAAAAAUGCCUCUUCACUGGGAAGGUACGACAUAGCCUUCACCUGCAUCGCUAUGACUCUGGCCACUCCCUGCCUGACACCACCAAGUGUCUGGGCCCCGACUGGCCAACAUUCUGUAUUGAUUGCAAUGCGUUUCUCCUCCUCAGACUGGCUUGGAAAGUCGAAUGGCGGAUUCUUUAUCUGCUGAGCCAUCAGCCGAGAUGUCUGCUGAGCAGAAUCAUUUUCUUCUGCCAUGUGGAUUGAAAUCCAGCUCAGUGAGUCACUCAGACUUCAAGUAUCAACAUGCGGCAGAUAUUGCUGGAGAGCCUACGAUGCGUUUGGCACCUGGACACGGAGCUACAGCUUUCAGACAAGACUGGGGACGUUCAGGAUGGUAUGGCCAUAGACAAGCUGCCACUUUCGGAAAGAAUCAAAUUGCUCCACUUCCUUCAUCAUAUUUUUCUCAAGUAUAGCACUGCAUAUGGAGAAGGCUGGGCGGAAUGCAGAAAGCCAGGCAGAUUUUCCUCGUGUUGAAAGGGAACCUCUGGUCAAAAGUCAGCAGCCGCGCUGCAGAAAGCUUUGAUAGUCAGUGAAGUGGAUCACGGCAUGCGCGGAUGGAGCCUCUCGCUGCGCGGGCGGACCUCCCUCCAAGAGCGACCCCUGGUCAUCAGUCAUCGGGGCCCCCAUCGCCUUCUGCGCAGCCGAUGGUUUCACCAGAUCCACGGGGCCUGGGUCCCAAGCUGCCCUUUUCCACAGGUAUUGCUAAAGCAAAUAGCAGACGGUAUUUACUGGGUGUGAUGCUUUCAAUCACAUUAAUCUAGCCAGUAAAAAAAUUUAUGACCAAUAAAAAUUCCACCAUGACAUGGCUGAUUGGAGGAGAGUUGCGGUGAUGGAGAUUCAAGCCACGCCUCUGCCUCUGGCUAGACCGUCACAGCCGUGGAAGGAAGUAGGCGUCGGAGACCAGAAAGACAGAAGUCUCUGGGCCUGUUAAAACCAACUCCAGGGUGGAUGGAUAAAACUCUUAAAUCGUUUAAUAAGUCCGAAUUCUUGGAGUUUGGAGGGCAACUGACUGAACACCUACCUUGAAAAGCUACCUGGGGAAGAGUUAUGGACGUGGUCCUGCCUGCACUAAAAAAUGACUCUGGG